AGCGGUAGUUCAGUUGGUUAGAAUACCGGCCUGUCACGCCGGGGGUCGCGGGUUCGAGCCCCGUCGCGGUA
rnacentral:tRNA from 1 species